rnacentral:rRNA from 1 species
UACGUAGGCAGCAAGCGUUGUUCGGAGUUACUGGGCAUAAAGCGCGCGUAGGCGGGUUUCCAAGUCGGUUGUGAAAUCCCUCAGCUCAACUGAGGAACUGCAUCCGAUACUGUUUGUCUUGAGGACGAGAGGGGAGAGUGGAACUUCUGGUGAAGCGGUGAAAUGCGUAGAUAUCAGAAGGAACGCCGGUGGCGAAAGCGACUCUCUGGCUCGUAUCUGACGCUGAGGCGCGAAAGCUUGGGUAGCAAACGGG